AGAGUUUGAUCCUGGCUCAGAGCGAACGCUGGCGGCGUGCUUAACACAUGCAAGUCGAGUGCGCGUCUGUAGCAAUACAGAUGGCGCACGGCGCACGGGUGCGUAACACGUGGGUAAUCUGCCCUUCGAAGGGGAAUAACUCGCCGAAAGGCGAGCUAAUUCCGCAUAACAUUCCGAGAACCUUGGUUUUUGGAUUCAAAGGCGUAAGUCGUCGGAGGAGGAGCCCGCGCACGAUUAGCUAGUUGGUGAGGUAACGGCUCACCAAGGCUAUGAUCGUUAGCUGGUCUGAGAGGAUGGCCAGCCACACUGGAACUGAGACACGGUCCAGACUCCUACGGGAGGCAGCAGUGGGGAAUCUUGCACAAUGGGCGAAAGCCUGAUGCAGCGACGCCGCGUGGGGGAUGAAGCUUCUCGGAGUGUAAACCCCUUUCGACCCGGACGAAUGCCCCGCAAGGGGACUGACGGUACGGGUAUAAGAAGCCCCGGCUAACUACGUGCCAGCAGCCGCGGUAAGACGUAGGGGGCCAGCGUUGCUCGGAAUUACUGGGUGUAAAGGGUUCGUAGGCGGUGUGGCAAGUCGGGAGUGAAAUCUCUGGGCUCAACCCAGAGUCUGCUUCCGAAACUGCUGUGCUUGAGUGUGGGAGAGGCGCGUGGAAUUGCAGGUGUAGCGGUGAAAUGCGUAGAUAUCUGCAGGAACACCCGUGGCGAAAGCGGCGCGCUGGACCACUACUGACGCUGAGGAACGAAAGCUAGGGGAGCAAACAGGAUUAGAUACCCUGGUAGUCCUAGCCCUAAACGAUCAGGACUUGGGGUGCCACCCGUUCGGGUGUCGUCCCGGAGCUAACGCGUUAAGUCCUGCACCUGGGGAGUACGGUCGCAAGACUGAAACUCAAAGGAAUUGACGGGGGCCCGCACAAGCGGUGGAACAUGUGGUUCAAUUCGACGCUACGCGAGGAACCUUACCUGGGCUCGAAAUGCUUCUGACAAGCUGUAGAAUACGGCCUUCCCGCAAGGGACAGGAGU
rnacentral:rRNA from 1 species